CGGCAGAAAUAGCAACCUCAGAUAUGCACUUGGAUACCACUCAGAGUGGUAUUGGCAGAAAGUGAAGAGGAGCUAAAAAGCCUCUUGAUGAAAGUGAAAGUGGAGAGUGAAAAAGUUGGCUUAAAGCUCAACAUUCAGAAAACUAAGAUCAUGGCAUCUGGUCCCAUCACUUCAUGGGAAAUAGAUGGGGAAACAGUGUCAGACUUUAUUUUUUGGGCUCCAAAAUCACUGCCGAUCAUGACUGCAGCCACAAAAUUAAAAGAUGCUAACUCCUUGGAAGAAAAGUUAUGACCAACCUAGAUAGUAUAUUCAAAAGCAGAGACAUUACUUUGCCAACUAAGUCCGUCUAGUCAAGGCCAUAGUUUUUCCAGUAGUCAUGAAUGGAUGUGAGAGUUGGACUGUGAAGAAGGCUGAGCACCGAAGACUUGAUGCUUUUGAACUGUGGUGUUGGAGAAGACUCUUGAGAGUCCCUGGACUGCAAGGAGAUCCAACCAGUCCAUACUGAAGGAGAUCAGCCCUGGGAUUUCUUUGGAACGAAUGAUGCUGAAGCUGAAACUCCAGUACUUUGGCCACCUCAUGCGAAGUGUUGACUAACUGGAAAAACUCUGAUGCUGGGAGGGAUUGGGGGCAGGAGGAGAAGGGGACGACCGAGGAUGAGAUGGCUGGAUGGCAUCACGACUCGAUGAACCUGAAUCUGAGUGAACUCUGGGAGCUGAUGAUGGACAGGGAGGCCUGGCGUGCUGCGAUUCACAGGGUCACAGAGUCGGACACAACUGAGUGACUGAACUGAACUGAACUGAACUAAGAUGCAGAAACACA
rnacentral:lncRNA from 1 species